AGAGAUGGAUUGGUGCCUUCGGGAACUCUGAGACAGGUGCUGCAUGGCUGUCGUCAGCUCGUGUUGUGAAAUGUUGGGUUAAGUCCCGCAACGAGCGCAACCCUUAUCCUUUGUUGCCAGCGGUCCGGCCGGGAACUCAAAGGAGACUGCCAGUGAUAAACUGGAGGAAGGUGGGGAUGACGUCAAGUCAUCAUGGCCCUUACGAGUAGGGCUACACACGUGCUACAAUGGCGCAUACAAAGAGAAGCGACCUCGCGAGAGCAAGCGGACCUCAUAAAGUGCGUCGUAGUCCGGAUUGGAGUCUGCAACUCGACUCCAUGAAGUCGGAAUCGCUAGUAAUCGUAGAUCAGAAUGCUACGGUGAAUACGUUCCCGGGUCUUGUACACACCGAA
rnacentral:rRNA from 1 species